AAAAAUUUUAGGUAAUAAAGUAAAGGGAUACUCAUUAGUUACCGAAGUGUGAGACAGAUCUGCUUCAUUAGGAAUUUGUUUACCCCGAAAGGCCUAACAAAACCAAGAGAUGACAUUUGCCUACCACGAAGGGCCUGACAAAGUCUAAGGAUAACACUUGCCUACCACGAAGGGCCUGACAAGGUCUAAGUGUCGGCAAUUGCCUACCACGCAGGGCCUGACAACGUUUUAAAGAUGACACUUGCCUACCACGAAGGGCCUGACAAGGUCUAAGUAUCGACAAUUGUCUACCACGCAGGGCCUGACAACGUCUUAAAGAUGACACUUGCCUACCACGAAGGGCCUGAUAAGGUCUAAGUGUCGAUAAUUGCCUACCACACAGGGCCUAACAACGUCUUAAGGAUGGCGUUUGCCUACCACGCAGGGCCUGACAAACCCAUAAGGUCCACCUGCCAUUAAGGCUACCAUCGAAUGGUCAGCAAGUCCACCCGAACCUCCUUACACCACUGAACUGAACAGGAACGAAGACAGGAUUCGUUUGAGAAAAAAGG
rnacentral:lncRNA from 1 species